UCGUGAGCAGAGGAUCCAUGGUUCCCCUUCCUUCCCUCCUCCAUGGUUACAAAGCAUGGAUCCACAUGGAUCCUCAGGAUUUUUGCAUUGGGCUACUCCAAACUCACUGUCAGAUCACAUGUCUGUGGCCACAGCAUGAACCACAAAAUCAUAUAUCCACUAUUUUGUUUAGAAUAUUUUUUUUCUUGUUUUCCUCCUCUAAAAACUACGUGCGUGUUAUGGUCUGGUGUGUGUUAUAGAGCGAAAAAUAUGGUAUAUGGCAGGAUUGUUUUACUACUCCAAAUUACACCUUAUCGUAGUUCCACUGCCCUCUGUCCACUGUGCUGCUACUAGAAUUCUAUCCUUGAAUGAUUGUCUCCUUCUAUAGAGAGUUGGUUCCACCCCACCUCACAAGCCAUUUCUGCAAAAGAGGCAGGACAUCCUUUGUAAAAUCUUUGUCUUUUAGGAAGUCAUUUAGGAUAUUGUUCCAGCGAGCCUUUGAGAAAAGGUGAAUGUGCAAGAACGAUUUACAUCAUUUCCCCCUCCCUUUAUUGCACUGCAUUGAUUAAACUUUUAAUUGUCGUCAGGCCCUCUAAGGCUUUUCAAAGCAUGUAGCAGGAUAUUACAAUCAGUCAAUCAAAGCAACUGCGCCUGCUAUUGCAGUGCCCAUCUGCAUGUGGAAUAAGCCUUUAAACCUCUGGUGCUUCAUGAGCCUCACUAACGAUUGAUGAAGACAUGACUAAGCAUUACUCUUAGUAAUGAAUUCAGGUGGUGAACACUGACAAGUUUGUAGCCAAAAUGAAGCCACCGACAAACAAGAAUGCUCACGGGAAUGCUAAAGUUUGCAGAUAUACAUUCCCGAGAAAUAAAAUCUAAGGAGACCAAAAUGUAACAAAAAUUCUAAAGUAUAGCUCAGAAACACAAGUAAUUUCAGGGUCCAGCCUCUUGUUCUCACCAUGGAUGACCUCUGCGAAGCCCACACACAGGAAAGGAGUGCAAAAACACUCUCUCUAUUUGUGAUUCCAUACAACUGGCAUUUAGAGGCUUACUGCCUCCGACACUGGAGGUAGGCAUAGAGCCUCUAAUAGCCUAAUCCACCAUGAAUAGAGCAAUCAUUGCAGCAGUCUCUGCUCGCCAGGCUAAGGAAGGAGUUGAUUCACUGAGGCAUCAGCAGUAAAAGGGUUGACUGUUAAGCAAAUGGUACUCUUGAAUUUUUAUUUUAAAGCCUCUUGGCUAGUGGCUGUGUGUUUCUGCCUUGCUGUUGGGGAGCAGGGGAGGGAAGACUGAAUUAUAUUUUCCCCUUGCUGGGAAAAUGCAGAUCCCCAAUUCACUGCCAUCAUUAACAUCAUGAGGUUGACAUCUUUGAUGAGCUACAAGCCAAAGUUUCUUGCUCCUGGAUGGUUCAGGUCCCAUUAACGCAUAUGUGAGUAUUUAAAAUAUCAUCAGCAAAUUGGGCUCCCGCACUGCUCGCUCCUAACUUUUAACUGCUCAACCCUAGAUCAGGGAUGGGGAACCUUUGCCCUCCAGGUUCUGACAAACUGAUCGGUGAUGACUGGAGUUGUAGUUCGACAGCACUGGGAGGGCUACAGGUCCAUCAGCCCUUUUCUAGAUCAUUUAAUGGAACUCAAGGCAGCAUGUGUAGGUUUCCCAGGUGGUCUUCCAUCAACAUAUUAACCAGCAAACUUGCUUAGCUUCAGCAAGGGGGCUGCUUCACAUAUCUUUGGACCAUGCCAUCGGAUCUAGCAAUUAAGCCUCUGAUUGAGGGCAGCUGACCCAUGAAACACAGUCCAAGUGGGAGGAAAAGAAAAUGGAGGGGGAGAAAGGGAAUCCACUUGCUUGAGCCCCUAACACCUCACAGAAUCCUGAAGCUAAACAUUAUAGUCAGUGGCAGAGUAAACAUCUCCUUCUCAUGCUACACACCCACCCAAUAAAACAAUCAAAUUCAGAUUUUAAUCUGGAACCUUUAAGCAUUACAUAGCACUGGACUGAGGGUACAAGGAGAAGGGGAUGACAGAGGACGAGGUGGUUGGACAGUGUUCUCGAAGCUACCAACAUGAGUUUGACCAAAGUGUGGGAGGCAGUUGAAGAUAAGAGUGCCUGGAGUGCUCUGGUCCAUGGGGUCACAAAGAGUCGGACAUGGCUACACGACUAAACAACAACAGCACUGGAGGAAGAGGAGGGGAGGUGCCGGGGCCCCAGAGAGUGCUGCCAGAUCCCUGUUAAGGAGCUGGGGAUCCCCUGCAACAUUUCGUUGCUGCCCCUCCAGCACCGCUUGUCAUUUCCGACUACUGGCUCCAGUUUGUCCACCAACAAGCCUUAGAUUGAAAAUUUCAGCUUCCAUUUCCCGGUGACAUUUCGUGCACUACAGGUUUAACAUACUCCUUCUGGUGAAGUCAGAAAUAUUAGUCGAUUGAAUAACACCCCCCAGCUCUCUCGUGUUCCAAGUGUGCCACAAUUACGGAAAUUCAGGCACUAAGUUUAUAUGGGUCCGCUGGGAACAUUUUUAGAAUGCUUAACAGCCCUUAAAAUUUAUCAUUUCCAACCUGUCACAGGGAAGCUGAGUGCCUGCACUUUGUGCUGCACUGUAAAGGAUGAACGGAACAGGGAUAUUGGUACAAGACUCCAUUAAGGCUUUUUUCUUUCCCUUUUCUCUAAUAAUAAUAAGAAAGACACUGGGCGUUGCAUCCAUGCCUCUGUGUUUUUCUCCUCCCGAUUACUGCAAGAACAUGGAAACCCUAUGCAGGGGUUAAAAAGGCUUCUGAUCUAAUUAGAGGAGCUUUAAAAAAUCCAUGUAGAGAGAUUACGAGGAAAGUUCACCGAAGGAACCGCAACAACAGAGAGAUCAGAGAGUCUCAGAAGUGGAAACAACCGAGGUAUGGAAUGUGCUAAUAAUAUUUUGUCUCUUGGCUCCAGAUACACCCAUUUUAGACAGUAAUUACAACAGUCUCCGUAUGGAGCCCUCAAGACUCUGUGCUCAGAGAAGCCUUGUAAGAAUGACACAGCUUCGUUGGGCAGGCGACCAAUGACGCUUACAGCCUGCAGCUCUCCAGCUUCACCCUCAGUUUUCAGACUCGGUGCUGUGUGUCUGGUUCCUUGUGGGUUGAAAUGUGGCUCUGCUGAAGCAACGGGAGGUCUAAGUCCUCAAAGGUGGGCCAAGGCAUUUUUCUGCUUGAGGCAGAGUAUCAAAAGGUGCCUCACCCCCUGAGUCAAGGCCAAUCAAGUUACUUUAGCACCAUAAAACCCCACAAGCACUUCUCCUUAGAUAACUAGCCAUUUGUUGCCCUUUCUACAACAACCAAAAUCUUUGCAUCGCAGGAAUAAGCUCUGCCAAGCAUCAUGGUGCUGGCUGCAUAGGUUCAAUAAUAAAGCACAUUGGCCUUUGACAAAAGAUCACCUGCUAGCUGAAAUUCAAUUGCUAGCUUUUCAUUCGAAAUGCAAACCAUCUUGCAAAGAUGUGCUACCAUUUAGAUUGCUAGCUUGAAGUAGGACCGUAUC
rnacentral:lncRNA from 1 species